AAAAGCCCGCGGGAGUUUCAAAUAAACAGCUUUUCACCGCUGGAAUCCAAAGAGACUUGUGGCUCGUUCCUCCUAGUGAAGGGGGAUCGUGCUACUGAAACCCUCUCUGAGAAGCUGCGAGCGAGGAGUCACUAGCAAUCAGCUCUGUUAGGAAGAUGAGAAGUUUUGGCAGAAGAGUCACUUGGCUAGGUAGGAUGCUUCUGGAUGAACUGAAACACAAGAACACACAAGAAGUGGAAACUAGGCAACAAAGGAGGAAUACAAACAGAAUUGCUUGAGCACUUGGAGCAAAAUCAGAAAGACCAAAACCCAGCUGCAGAUAAAAGUACUGAGGAACAUAAGGGAUAGAAUGCCAAAAUGUGAGGUCUGGAAAUCCAAAAGUAAAGUAAUGGUCCUGUCUUGCAUCCCGAUGGUUGGAAACUGAUCUAUGGGGACUAUGAAAAAAUGCAAGAUCAUGCAUCAACAUGUAUUGAAUGAGAAAAAAAAGAAAGUAAUACAAACCAAUGUUUACUUAAACAAUAACCAUUGACAGCAAGAGACACACAGAUGGAAAUCCAAUAGCUUCUAUCUCAGUGGGAGGUUUCAUUUGAAGACCUUGAUGGGGAUGUGAUUGAACUGGAGCACUCUAAUUUACAUCAUGGAGAAUCUAUCAUGAUGUCUUUUUUAUGGCACUGCUGUUCCAAACUAGGUCUCCUAUGAGAAGCUGGUCACAAGCAGGGAGAAGGAAAGACUUCAGUUUGAAUAAGAGGAAAAAGAAGACUUUCAAGUACUACCAAAUACAAGCUGUAUUACAAUAGUCUGCUCUCCUACAGACACAAGUAAUGGCAGAACCAUGACUUUGGAUGUUUUUUAAAGAGUCUGGUAAAGAGAACAGCAGAGGAGCUACGGGGCAUAUGUGAUGUGCAGUGCUGUAUUGCCUUAUAGGUUAAGGAAGGAACAGAAUUGCAUAAUGUCCUGCAAGUAAAUGGCCCAAAAUGUCCUUUUUAAGUGUUACUAUUUCAUUUACAAUGAUAGAAUGAAAGAGUAGAGAGAAGCUGUCCAUUAUAAUGAGUGCAGAACUAAUUCUUUCACUCAGGGAAUGUUAGUGUCAGCAAAAUGUAUGGAGAGGUCCUUGACAGAAAAAGCCCUAGAAGUAAUGGAAAGUGCCAGCAAAGAAUUCUAUGAUGCAAGCAUAAUUUUCUGUUAAAUUCUACCAGAUGGUCCACAAGGCCUAUAAAAGUUCUUUGCAGUUAUAAAUCUUACAGAAUUUUUACUCCCAGGGCUAAUCUUGUAAUUGCUAAUCAGCGAAAGCUGAAGUUCUUUCUUUAUCUGUGAUUACACACAAAGGUGUUUUACUUCUAGUCUGCCUGACCUUUUGGGGAAAGCAAAUUCUUUAUUAUUGAUCAGGAGGUAAAUCUACUGGAGGAGGGGGGAGUAGCAUAAUCCUUGCGAAGUACAGCCAGAGUCUGCUUGGGUGUUUGGUAACACAGUGACUGUGGUAGGAGGUCCUUUUCUUCCAUAUACUUCCGUGAUGCCCAGGGUACCCAAAUAUGUGUGAGAGUGCGAAUAGGGGGCUCGUGGUGCAUGUGUACAUCUCCCAGUUUGGUACGUGCCUCCUCUAUUUCCUCCUUUUUUGUUUUGUUUUCUCUAUGUAUCUUAAUUAUAUCAUCCUAAAUAUCCUAGGAUCCUAGAAUCCAUUUUAAGACUGCUCUAGCCAGCACCAUAUUAUUUGAACCCUUCGUAACACUCUCCACAUGAGGUCAGCAGCAAAAUCUCUAGUAGAAACUUGGUAGCUGUCACUUACAGACUUACUUUAGUUCCUGAUACCUCUCACUUAUUCUGCAAACUCUUUGGACCAGGUUUGUAUCUCACCAUUUGCCAAUAUUAACCUUAGCAUAAUCUCAACUGGGGUGUGUAGAGACAGUUGUGAUACAAAUAAUUUUCAAAUUACAUCUUUUAUUAUUGAAAAUGUAAUUAUUAUUAUUUAGGUCAUUUUUUUUCUUAAUCCUUGUUAUUUUUUCCUCUGAUAAAAAGAACUGUCUCACAACAGCAGGAUAUACAAAUUUUCACGGUAAGGGAAAAAAAGGAGAAAAAAGUCUUUUAAUAAAAAUUUAAUCUCACUGAAGUGUAGGCAGUUACACUCAAAGCACAUACCAGCCUCAGAAUAUCGUUAUUUGUCAAAAGUUUUGUGAAGUUCAAUUCCUUCAUUGUAUAUCAUUCUCUUGGUGCCUGCUGAGUAGCUAAGAAAUUUCAAUCAUGAUUCUAGCAAAAUAACUACUAUGGUAAGACUGGCUUAGAUUCUUACAGUGAUUUACCAGCAAAAAGCACUAAUGGAAUCACUAACUUACUUU